rnacentral:misc_RNA from 1 species
UAAACAGACAAGGCGACCGACA